CAGCAGCCGCCACGGUAAUACGGAGGAUCCAAGCGUUAUCCGGAAUCAUUGGGUUUAAAGGGUCCGUAGGCGGUCUUGUAAGUCAGUGGUGAAAGCCCAUCGCUCAACGGUGGAACGGCCAUUGAUACUGCAGGACUUGAAUUAUUGGGAAGUAACUAGAAUAUGUAGUGUAGCGGUGAAAUGCUUAGAGAUUACAUGGAAUACCAAUUGCGAAGGCAGGUUACUACCAAUUGAUUGACGCUGAUGGACGAAAGCGUGGGUAGCGAACAGGAUUAGAUACCCCGGUAGUCCCUGUCUCUUAUAC
rnacentral:rRNA from 1 species